rnacentral:lncRNA from 1 species
CUGACAGCCACUCCCCCGCCCCGUCACACAGUGAACAGAAAAUGAAGAAGGACGACACGAGAGACGGCAAGUUAAGGAGCAAUGCACUCAACACUAAUAAUAGCGAACGGAAAAUGUGUUUAUACAUAUGAGAAAUUCUUGCCCACACCCUGGACAAGUAGGAGAUAAUGAGACCAAACAAAAGUAAACACGAAAAAAGAAAAGCUAGCAAAGAAAACAACAACUAAGAAAUGCUUCAGCUCGAAGGGGAGACAUCCCCACUACCACCUCGUGAUGAACGUCCAAGUGACCUGGAUGACUGUGCUCCACUCUCCGUCCCUUUGCGCUGCACAAGAAACCUAUCUAGACCAGAGGGUCUAUAGAAGGAUGCUCGGCCAUAAUCCACUCCUUGGAAAGUUUGAUAGACGCUGCCAUCACCUUCCCCCCAUAGGAAUUCAAGGCCUUAGCAUAAUCAGACGACGUCUUAUACUGCUCCACAGAUACCUUGAGAUCUCUGGCAUACUCAGCUGAGGCCUUAUACUUCUCGAUCGCCUCCUCCGAAGCAUGAGCCAAAAUAGAACGCAAGUUGUCGUUCUCCGUCUCCUACUCGUGCGCUCGAGCAUCCGACAUCUAUAGAGAUUUCCUCAAUGAGGAUAUUUUUUUCUUGUAGUGAUGAGUCUCUUUUUUCUUUUCUUCAGUAAGAGUCUUCAAAUCCGAGACUAGGCGGUGAUUCGAUUCAGUGAGUCCCGAAAGUCAAGCGUUAAAACCAAGCUUAAAAGGAAAGACCCAACAUAAAAGAAAAUGUGAAUUGGAAACGCACCUUCUGGAGAUAAACAGUCGCAACCCUUUCAAUGUCGUCUGCACUACGCCAUGCAAUUGCUCUAGAACGAGCGAGCGUCACCAAAGACUUGAGCACCCCCAUCUCAUGAUAGCCUCGGGUGGAAGAAAACCCAAAGUUGGGAAGUGAAUCCUCGCGCUCACACCGUGCAUGGCUAGAAGCACCCGGCCUAGGAGCUGGAGCCACCUCACGAGGCUCGUCUGAAGGCUGGGAGUUCUCAUUGAUCGCCCGAGGCUUCCCUCCUUGGUAGGCCACCCUCCUUCUCUUUGAAGGGAUAGGUGAUGGAUCCUCCUCAUCCCCUUAUCCGUGGUCGGGCAUGGAAUCCAUGAUCCCUUCAAGAUCAAGCUCUGCCCCUACACAUGUAA